CUGCCUUCAGACGGGGACAACUCAGGGAAACUUGUGCUAAUACCCGAUGAGACCACAAGAAGGGAUUUUUGUGGCCAAAGGCGGGCAGCAAUGCUCGUGCUGAAAGAUGAGUCUGCGUCCUAUCAGCUAGUUGGUGGGGUAAAUGCCUACCAAGGCUAAGACGGGUAGCCGGCCUGAGAGGGUGAACGGCCACACUGGGACUGAGACACGGCCCAGACUCCUACGGGAGGCAGCAGUGAGGAAUUUUCCGCAAUGGGCGCAAGCCUGACGGAGCGACGCCGCGUGAGGGAUGAACAGCUUUCGGGUUGUAAACCUCUUUUAUUAAAGGAAAAAGAUCUAUAUGCUAAUAUCAUGUAGAUUUGAUGGUACUUAUUGAAUAAGCCCCGGCUAACUACGUGCCAGCCGCAGC
rnacentral:rRNA from 1 species